CUGUGAGUAAGACGCAGCGCCCUCAAUGCGGGAAGCCCGAGUUCGAUCCUCGGUCAGGGAUCCAUGCGCAUGACACAAAGACCCAUGAGCCGCAAUUAAGACCCGGAGAAGCCUAAACCAGAGGACUUCUCAGAUAAUUCAGAGCCUAUUGGAGCCACAGCAAAAGAUGCAAAGUACACAAGAGCCUGGAGCUGUGACUUUCUAACCUGUUCAGCCUGGCAGGAUUCAGAGUCCAAAGUUUCCAGCACUGAGGGUCUCCCAAGACAGAAGAGGGGGCUUUCCAUUCAACUCCAGCUGCAAACACCUCUGCUUCCUGCACAAAAGCCGCCCAGGAUUUGAGGAGCGUUUCCUUACUGGCCCCAGGUCCAGGCAGCCCCCUACAACUGAAACACAUCCAUGUUGGCUGCUGUCACUAGAAACAUCAGCUGGUAAUUAAGCCUGGCAGGGGCCAGGGGUGGUAGCCCCCAGAGCUGGUGCUGCCUUGAGAGCCCAAAGAACAGAAAAAAAAAAAAAAAAA
ensembl:lncRNA